CAGCCGCCGCGGUAAUACGUAGGGCGCAAGCGUUAUCCGGAAUUAUUGGGCGUAAAGAGCUCGUAGGCGGUUUGUCGCGUCUGCCGUGAAAGUCCGGGGCUCAACCCCGGAUCUGCGGUGGGUACGGGCAGACUAGAGUGAUGUAGGGGAGACUGGAAUUCCUGGUGUAGCGAUGAAAUGCGCAGAUAUCAGGAGGAACACCGAUGGCGAAGGCAGGUCUCUGGGCAUUAACUGACGCUGAGGAGCGAAAGCAUGGGGAGCGAACAGGAUUAGAUACCCCAGUAGUCCCUGUCUCUUAUAC
rnacentral:rRNA from 1 species